rnacentral:misc_RNA from 1 species
AACGCACGAGACCUGCGGACCUGCGGAGGGAUCAUUAGUGAACGCCCUCGCGGGCUUAUAACUAUUCCAAACCUCUGUGAACCGUGCCCUUCGGGGCUAUUUUACAAACAUGGUGUAAUGAACGUCAUAUAUCAUAACAAAACAAAACUUUCAACAACGGAUCUCU